CGGCACGGAUCUUAACGCGGCCAGCUGAUGAUCCAACGGUUGGUUCGCGCGAAAGGCACACCCGUCCCAUGCCCCACUACCGCCUUUCCUUCCAGUUUCCCAACGUGACGGCCCAACAACAAUGACAUGAGAGACGGGGAGGCACAGGGGAGUCGGGGGGACAGGUGGUACUGCUUGUGUUCCAGUCUCAGAAAACACCUCCUCCCUCCCUUCCUCCCAGGUUGGGGGAGAGAUGAGUUCUUCGGGGCCUUCCUUCUACGGCAUCUGCACCUAUGCGGCUGGAAUUGCUGGUAACGCCUCCUCUCUCUCUCACUCUCUCCCCCCUUCUCUCUCUCUCUCUUUAAUUUAUAUAUUUUUAUAUAUAAUCGCAAAAACACAUUUUUCUGCUUUUGGACUUAGCGCUGGUGUUUCCUUAUCUUGUAAUCGAUCCGGUAGUCUAUUGUUGUAAUUCAUCAUGACUUGAUUGCCAAGCUUGGGAAUCAUGGAAGAUUAUCAAAUUUUUGAUAUCAAGCGUUUGAUGUUGUUGAUAUUAACAAGCACAAAUUUAAAGAAAAGUGAAGAGCUGAGUGAAAAUAGAAGGUAGAAUUACUGUGCCGUUAGGAGACCAUUAUAAACAAACUCUGUUGAUUUCUCCAUUUGAUUCUAGGGGAUGCUUACGGGAUUAAUAAGCCUAUGGAACCGGGACAAUUUUGGAGAUUUUUUCAAGCCAUCUGAGAGAAGCAAUGAAGAUGGAUGGGUGGAAUUUUCUUUCUUACUUUGCUUGUUGGAUUCAGUCACAUAACAUACAUCAAUACAUGAGAACAUAGUGUUUUUGGAAUGUUAUGUUACCUUUAAAUUUGAUUAGCUGGAUAUAUAAGGUAGUUUAGCAUUUUAUAUAUUGUCAUUGUUCUAUCAUAAGGUAAGGUGCCAUUGUCCAUGUGAUCGCCAACACUAUGUGCUAUCAGCUGGUUGAUCAUGUUUGGCAAUAGAUGCAAAUGCUGUAUCUCCAAUAAGCCCUUCCCUAGCCUGUUAGUAAAUGAACAUAACAUAGUGGUAAGCUCUUUCCUUUUUGAUGUUAUUAUGAUGACCACAUUUAUGAAAUCAUCUUCUUUAUGUUUGCAGGGAACCUCUUUGCAUUUGUGUUGUUUGCCUCACCGAUGUAAGUCCACCCUUGGCAUUCCUUUCUUGGUUCCACCAUACAGAACCAUGUCAUCGACGCGUCUCUUUAU
rnacentral:lncRNA from 1 species